rnacentral:lncRNA from 1 species
CUUCCUCCCCUAAGUUAUAUUCUAUCAGAGCAACAGAAAUGCAACUAGAACACAGGUCCUGUCCAGGAGAUGGAGUGCCGUAGUUUGAAUGUAAAAUGUCCACCUUGAACCAGAAAAAAUAAAUAAUAAGAUAUAGAGUUUUCAGAUUUAAGAAUUCAGCAGAGCCCAAGCAUCUAUUUUUAAAUUAUAUUUAUGUAUUCGUGCAUGUGUGCAUGGAGGUCAGGGGACCACUUGGAGGAGGUGUUAGUCUCUUCCACUAUGUGGUCUCCAGGGAUCAAACUCAGGUUGUCAGAUUUGGUGGCAAGUACCUUUAUUGAAUGAGCCAUCUCACUGAUCCUUUUUGUUUUUUUAAUUAAAAGCCUUUUUUUUUUUUGAGACAGAGUCACAUUUUGUUUUCUAGAUUGACCUGAGCUCUCUAUGAUCUUGUUAAAGAGGCCCACGCUGUUUCUAUUCCUGCCUCAUGUGAGGAGCCAUGGGAGCACAUGCCUGGAGCACUGGAUGAAUUUGCAGAAGGAGGCAGAUGUGAGAGUCCAACUCAUCUGACUGCUUCCUGUGCCAGGCCUAAAGCUGCUAAAAGUAAAUGUUGCCUCUAAGGACAGCCGUCUUCUCCCUGCAAACGAGUCCUACGUCUUAGAUACCAGGAACCUUCUUGUCAGGAUUGAGCAGUAACAUCAUGGCCACCUGUCAAUGAGGCAGGAACACAGAACCUCCUGUGAGAAUGGAAGAGAGUCUGUUAGCGAGGUCUGUGGUGUUCAGAACAUUUGGGCCUUGCCCCACCCACACAAACAAGCCAACUGCCCGACAAGAGGACUUCCACAGCCUCUCUUGGAUGAAUUUCUUCCAUCUGUCCUUCAGUGCCCUGUCUUGAGAUUGUUUUCUGCUGAGGAUUAACAGUGCCACCCGAAUCAGGCGAAUGGCCAGGAAGAUGUUCCUGAAAGAAGUUAAAAAUAAGAAAACAAAGGAAACGUCUUAGAAAAAGAUAAAAAUGAAUACUUCUUUUUUUUUUUUUUUUUUUUUUGGUUUUUCCAGACAGGGUUUCUCUGUGGCUCUGGAGGCUGUCCUGGAACUAGCUCUUGUAGACCAGCCUGGUCUCGAACUCACAAAGAUCCACCUUCCUCUGCCUCCCAGGUGCUGGGAUUAAAGGCGAGCGCCACCAACGCCCAGCAAAAUGAAUACUACUUAAACAAGGAUUAAAUUUUAAAAUGUGGAAUGGUUCAAGAAUUUAUAUGUCAUCCUUACAUAGGAGCCAUACUAAUCUCUGUAAUUGUUCCAAUUUUAGAUGCAUGCCGUCAAAACCAGAAGCACAUACAUU